CAGAACAACGCUGGCGGCGUGCCUAAUACAUGCAAGUCGAACGAGGUAGCAAUACCUAGUGGCGCACGGGUGAGUAACGCGUGGAUAAUCUGCCCUUUAGUGGGGAAUAACUCUCCGAAAGGAGAGCUAAUACCGCAUAAGACCACAGUGACCUUGGUCACAGAGGUUAAAGGAGAAAUUCGCUAAAGGAUGAGUCCGCGUCAGAUUAUGGUAGUUGGUGGGGUAAUGGCCUACCAAGCCUUCGAUCUGUAGCUGGUCUGAGAGGAUGAUCAGCCACACUGGAACUGAGACACGGUCCAGACUCCUACGGGAGGCAGCAGUAGGGAAUAUUGGUCAAUGGGCGAAAGCCUGAAUCAGCAACGCCGCGUGAGCGACGAAGGCCUUAGGGUUGUAAAGCUCUGUUGCAAGGGAAGAAAAAAAUGACGGUACUUUGCGAGAAAGGACCGGCCAACUUCGUGCCAGCAGCCGCGGUAAGACGAAGGGUCCUAGCGUUGUUCGGAAUCACUGGGCGUAAAGCGCAUGUAGGUGGCUCAAUAAGUCAGAUGUGAAAGCCCCGGGCUCAACCUGGGAAGUGCAUUUGAUACUGUUAAGCUUGAGUAUGGGAGAGGGUCGUGGAAUUCCUGGUGUAGUGGUGAAAUACGUAGAUAUCAGGAGGAACACCGGUGGCGAAGGCGGCGGCCUGGCCCAAUACUGACACUGAGAUGCGAAAGCGUGGGGAUCAAACAGGAUUAGAUACCCUGGUAGUCCACGCCGUAAACGAUGGAUACUUGUUGUUGGAGGUAUUGACCCCUUCAGUGACGAAGCUAACGCGUUAAGUAUCCCGNCUGGGAAGUACGGUCGCAAGAUUAAAACUCAAAGAAAUUGACGGGGGCCCGCACAAGCGGUGGAGUAUGUGGUUUAAUUCGAUGCAACGCGAAAAACCUUACCUGGGUUUGACAUGGAUUGGAAUGUGGCAGAGAUGUCACAGCCCGUAAGGGCCGAUUCACAGGUACUGCAUGGCUGUCGUCAGCUCGUGUCGUGAGAUGUUGGGUUAAGUCCCGCAACGAGCCGCAACCCCUGUCUUUAGUUGCCAGCAUUAAGUUGGGCACUCUAAAGAGACUGCCGACGUUAAGUCGGAGGAAGGUGGGGAUGACGUCAAGUCCUCAUGGCCUUUAUAUCCAGGGCUACACACGUACUACAAUGCCCGGUACAAAGGGUUGCCAAACCGCGAGGUGGAGCUAAUCCCAAUAAACCGGUCUAAGUUCAGAUUGGAGUCUGCAACUCGACUCCAUGAAGCUGGAAUCGCUAGUAAUCCCGGAUCAGCAUGCCGCGGUGAUACAGUCUCCCGGGC
rnacentral:rRNA from 1 species